GACGAACCGAGCGAACGUUGUUCGGAAUCACUGGGCUUAAAGGGCGCGUAGGCGGAUUUGCAAGUCCGUGGUGAAAUCCCACAGCUCAACUGUGGAACUGCCUCGGAUACUGUGAGUCUCGAGGGUGGUAGGGGUAUGCGGAACUAUCGGUGGAGCGGUGAAAUGCGUUGAUAUCGAUAGGAACUCCGGUGGCGAAGGCGGCAUACUGGACCACUUCUGACGCUGAGGCGCGAAAGCCAGGGGAGCAAACGGGAUUAGAAACCCCCGUAGUCC
rnacentral:rRNA from 1 species